CUACGGGGGGCAGCAGUGAGGAAUAUUGCACAAUGGAGGAAACUCUGAUGCAGCAACGCCGCGUGGAGGAUGACGCAUUUCGGUGUGUAAACUCCUUUUAUGAGUCAAGAAAAUGACGGUAGCUCAUGAAUAAGCACCGGCUAACUCCGUGCCAGCAGCCGCGGUAAUACGGAGGGUGCAAGCGUUACUCGGAAUCACUGGGCGUAAAGGACGCGUAGGCGGGAUAUCAAGUCAGGUGUGAAAUCCUACAGCUUAACUGUAGAACUGCACUUGAAACUGGUAACCUAGAGUAUGGGAGGGGGAGAUGGAAUUAGUGGUGUAGGGGUAAAAUCCGUAGAUAUCACUAGGAAUACCUAAAGCGAAGGCGAUCUCCUGGAACAUAACUGACGCUAAGGCGUGAAAGCGUGGGGAGCAAACAGGAUUAGAUACCCCAGUAGUC
rnacentral:rRNA from 1 species